UACGGAGGGUGCGAGCGUUGUCCGGAAUCACUGGGCGUAAAGGGCGCGUAGGCGGCCUGAUAAGUAGGGGGUGAAAUCCUGCGGCUUAACCGCAGGGCUGCCUUCUAAACUGUCAGGCUUGAGCACAGUAGAGGCAGGUGGAAUUCCCGGUGUAGCGGUGGAAUGCGUAGAGAUCGGGAAGAACGUCAGUGGCGAAGGCGGCCUGCUGGGCUGUUGCUGACGCUGAGGCGCGACAGCGUGGGGAGCAAACAGG
rnacentral:rRNA from 1 species